CAGCCCCUUUUUUGCCCACCUUGGACCUCCAGUCGUCCUUGGUGCUCAACACAGAGGGGCAGAGGAACUCUCUCAUAAACCUGCAGUGAAGGCUCACAUCCUCGCUGCGGAUCCUGUCGGGAGAAACAACC
ensembl:snoRNA